AUUGAACGCUGGCGGCAUGCCUUACACAUGCAAGUCGAACGGUCACAGGUCUUCAGUCGCUGUCGCGUGGCGGACGCGUGAGUACUGCCUCCGAAAGUGCCCCGUCGUGGGGGAUAACUGCUCGAAAGCGCAGCCAAUACCGCAUACGACCUGAGGGUGACAGCGGGGGACCGUAAGGCCUCGCGCGACUGCACCGGCCGCUGUCAGAGUAGCUACUUUGUGUGGUAAAGGCCUAACAAGGCAACGAUCUGUAGUUGGUCUGAGAGGACGACCAGCCACACGGGGACUGAGACACGGCCCAGACUACUACGGGAGGCAGCAGUGGGGAAUUUUGGACAAUGGGCGCAAGCCUGAUCCAGCAAUGCCGCGUGCAGGAAGAAGGCCUUCGGGUUGUAAACUGCUUUUGGCAGGGAAGAAAUCUUCUGGGCUAAUACCCCGGGAGGAUGACGGUACCUGAAGAAUAAGCACCGGCUAACUACGUG
rnacentral:rRNA from 1 species